UACAGAGGGUGCAAGCGUUAAUCGGAAUUACUGGGCGUAAAGCGUGCGUAGACGGUUAUGUAAGUCAGAUGUGAAAGCCCCGGGCUCAACCUGGGAAUUGCAUUUGAGACUGCAUAGCUAGGGUGCGGAAGAGGGAAGCGGAAUUCCGGUGUAGCGGUGUAAAUGCGUAGAUAUCGGAAGGAACACCAGUGGCGAAAGCGGCUUCCUGGUCCAGCACCGACGUUCAGGCACGAAAGCGUGGGGAGCAAACAGGAUGAGAUACCCGUUAGUAGUC
rnacentral:rRNA from 1 species